AUUGAACGCUGGCGGCAGGCCUAACACAUGCAAGUCGAGCGGGGUUUUCGGACCUAGCGGCGGACGGGUGAGUAAUGCGUAGGAAGCUGCCCGAUAGAGGGGGAUACCAGUUGGAAACGACUGUUAAUACCGCAUAAUGUCUACGGACCAAAGUGUGGACCUUCGGGCCACAUGCUAUCGGAUGCGCCUACGUGGGAUUAGCUAGUUGGUGAGGUAAUGGCCCACCAAGGCGACGAUCUCUAGCGGGUUUGAGAGGAUGAUCAGCCACACUGGAACUGAGACACGGUCCAGACUCCUACGGGAGGCAGCAGUGGGGAAUAUUGGACAAUGGGCGCAAGCCUGAUCCAGCCAUGCCGCGUGUGUGAAGAAGGCCUUCGGGUUGUAAAGCACUUUCAGCGAGGAGGAAGGGUGGUGUGUUAAUAGCACAUCAUUUUGACGUUACUCGCAGAAGAAGCACCGGCUAACUCUGUGCCAGCCGCCGCGGUAACAC
rnacentral:rRNA from 1 species